UACGAAGGGGGCUAGCGUUGUUCGGAAUCACUGGGCGUAAAGGGCGCGUAGGCGGCCGAUCAAGUCGGGGGUGAAAGCCUGUGGCUUAACCACAGAAUGGCCUUCGAUACUGUUUGGCUUGAGACCGGAAGAGGUUAGUGGAACUGCGAGUGUAGAGGUGAAAUUCGUAGAUAUUCGCAAGAACACCAGUGGCGAAGGCGGCUCACUGGCCCGAUACUGACGCUGAGGUGCGAAAGCGUGGGGAGCAAACAGG
rnacentral:rRNA from 1 species